rnacentral:rRNA from 1 species
GAUGAACGCUGGCGGCGUGCCUAAUACAUGCAAGUCGAGCGAACAGACGAGGAGCUUGCUCCUCUGACGUUAGCGGCGGACGGGUGAGUAACACGUGGAUAACCUACCUAUAAGACUGGGAUAACUUCGGGAAACCGGAGCUAAUACCGGAUAAUAUAUUGAACCGCAUGGUUCAAUAGUGAAAGACGGUUCUGCUGUCACUUAUAGAUGGAUCCGCGCCGCAUUAGCUAGUUGGUAAGGUAACGGCUUACCAAGGCGACGAUGCGUAGCCGACCUGAGAGGGUGAUCGGCCACACUGGAACUGAGACACGGUCCAGACUCCUACGGGAGGCAGCAGUGGGGAAUCUUCCGCAAUGGGCGAAAGCCUGACGGAGCAACGCCGCGUGAGUGAUGAAGGUCUUCGGAUCGUAAAACUCUGUUAUUAGGGAAGAACAAAUGUGUAAGUAACUAUGCACGUCUUGACGGUACCUAAUCAGAAAGCCACGGCUAACUACGUG